UUGAGAAGAUUCUCUGGAGGUAUCUGGUGAGGAAAGACUGAGGGCAGGUAGGGAUUGUGAGGCUAUGACCUUGGUAGAGGUGACAGGAGCUGAGGCUCUUUCCCCGGCAGCUGUGGUGAAGGGAGAUGGGCAGGAGGAGCAGAGGGAGGAGGCGUGGCCCUGGGCACCUGGAGCCAUCUGAGUGGAGAUGGGGUGGGCAGUCUUGGAAGUGCAGGGUCACCUCUUCACACACAUUCAUGGAAAGCUGUAGAAAUGUGUAGACCUGGGUGUCCAGAGAACUGAGGAUCUGCGGUCCCAGGGGAUAGGGUGUCACUGGGGCAAAGAGCAAGAGAGCCCUUCUGAGCCAGAGAAGUGCCUCCCCUGUGGAAUAGGGGUCCCCAGUCUCAUAAAACAAGCAACCAUCAGCAAAGUUGUUUUCUAGGAAGAAGAAAAGGCCACUGGGCCGACGGUCAGCCUUGCUUGGAAGACGGAAGACAAGUCCAGCCCACUCAGACCCUGGGAAAGGUUAUCCAGCGGGGUCACGCUCCACGUGUUGUUCUGCCACUGCCUCUGGUUUCUCGACACUGCCUCGUGGACACUCAGGGAGAGCUUGCAGCUGGUGACGAACUCUCCAGGAGGAGGAGCCGUAUAAAACGAGGAGCCGUGGCCCUAGGGGAGCUGGAGACUGUUCCUGAGAGAUUAUGGAUCUGGAGGGUUGCAUGCAUUUGCAGAAGCUCAAGGCCAUCUCUUUCCCAUCCUUCUGUUUUGAAGAGCCAGGCCCUUCCACGUGGUCCUCAGCAGGGUAAUGGGGGUGGGUGAUGCGUCAGAACAUCCUGGAUAGAUUUUUAAAAAUAGAUUUGGCACCUCCACCACCUCUUCUAGUUCUCUGGGGAUGGGGAUACGGGGAGAUGGAGGAGAGCGUGGCAUUUGGAGAAGUGUCCCUGGGAGGCCUCAUUGACUGGCCUGUCUGAUGACUUGCCACCACCCCUGACCCCACAAACUUUUUGUUAGUUCUUAUGUUUCAGAGAAUGGGCUCUGGAGUUUGCAAGAUGUGGAUUUGAAUCCCAGAUCCACCACUUGCUUUUUGCUCAUUUUCUCACCUUCCCGGGAGGGUCGGGACGAUCAUGAGAUAAUGUAAUAUGUCCACUAGGUAAAGCCCCCAGUACAAGCCGUCCCCUUCUUUCCCUCAGGCACGUGGGCCAUGACAACAGAGAGAACUGUCUGCGGGAAAGGCAGCUGUGGUGAGUUGGCUAAGAUAGCCGCCCCCAGGAGAUCUCGCUCUGCCACGGCCAGGGAGCACUGGGGCAGUCCCAGAAGGCAAAACCCAUGAGAGGGGCUAGGACUCCAUGACUGCCUAGGGGAUCCCUCAGGAAAAAACAAAGCUGGAGUGGCCCUGAGGAAGCUCUGGAGUGACCUAGGACCCAGUGGUUUUGGGGACAUGGGGCUUUCCAUGCUCAAGACAGGACAGUCUGGGGCAAACCCGACAUGUCAGCCACUCCAGCAGCUUUCGUCUUCCUGGCGGUAGCUGGGGGAUGCUGCUUAAGGACGGUCACUCUUAGAACAGCUUCUAGGAUGAAGAAAUAUGGUUCACGAGGCCAUUUAAAACAACAAAACUGAUCUCACUGCCACCAGGGUCACAGGACCCCACAUGGGGGGACGGUGCAGGCUGAGGCCGCUCAGUGGGGUGCUGGGAAGCUGGGAGGCAGGUCUGGGCCUGCUCUGGGGGACUUCUUUUCUUUCUGUUUCCUCCUUUUUUCAUUCAAAUUUCCACCUUCAAAGGAGGGGGCCUUGGACAGCUGUAUCCUCGUGAAAGUAAAGAGUAGCUCUUUCUGGUCCCCCACCAGGAAGCAGAGAAUUAGGGGACCCUACACAGCUUCCUUUGGAGGCUGGUGGGAACAGCCAGCACUCUUUUGGGCUGAGUCACAUGGAGGUCCCGUGCAUUCUCUUUUCUUGCCUGAGCCAUGAUUUGCCCGCGGCCAAUGUGUGACCUGUGGAACUGGCACUGGGCAAGCCUGCGGCUGGGUCCCACUGCUCUUGCUCUGGGCAGGCAUCUGCUCUCCUGCCUGGCUUUUCUGCUUGUUCUCUUCUCCCUGGCCUCUUCAACUCCUGGUAAAUAAGUCCCUUUCUUCUCCACUUUUUACCCCACUUUCAUUUCUUUCUCUUCCAUCACUGUGUCCUGAGGAAUAAAGGAAGGCCUAGGCAGCUCCCUG
rnacentral:lncRNA from 1 species